CAUAAUAUUCCCUAAGUAACAUUCCCAUCAAGUACAGAGUUUGGUGUGGAAUCAGGUUUCUUCAGAGUUUGGAGAUGGAACCAAUUUUGAGAAACUGAUACCUGCAUUCUGAGAACUGAAGAGGGGAUUGAAUGCUAUAUCUUCAGGGGGAAUUUCAACUGGCGCCGUGGCUCCUGCAGCAUGUGCCAGUGCCAAGAAGAUCCCAAAUGACACAGUGUUCCAGUUGUCUGGAUCAAUAGAGAAGUUCUGCAAGUUUGUCAAAUCAAACCAAUCAUCCCUGAUCGGCUCCAAUGCCAGCAAGCCAGGCUUUGCUGGGGGUGUUGGAACCCAACUGCCUAUCUUGAAAUCUUUCAGUUCCGGAAUCGAACUUCCAAUCCCGGAAUCCAUUUCUCACAGAUUGAAACGGGUAAAAUCUGUUCCUUUCCCCUUUCCUUCCACUCUAUGAUUUCACAACUUUCCCUCAGAUUGUUUGAAAACCUUCAAAUUUGCAACCUGACAGAAACCCAGCUCAAAAUUCAGUUCACCAGAAAAUCUAUCAGACAGAACCCAUAGAAAAUGAAAUGCUGCAACUUCCAAAAAAAAAAAAAAAAAAA